GAUGAACGCUAGCGGCAGGCUUAAUACAUGCAAGUUGAGGGGCAGCAUGAUAUACGCGAGUAUAUUGAUGGCGACCGGCGGACGGGUGAGUAAUAGGUAGGAGACCUACCUCAUACAGGGGGAUAGCAUAGAGAAAUCUGUGGUAAUACCCCAUGAGGUUAUAUGAAUAGAGGCAUAUAAUCAAAGCAUAAGCGAUUAUGCGGUAUGAGAGGGGCCUACUGACCAUUAGCUAGUUGGUGAGGUAAGGGCUCACCAAGGCGAAGAUGGUUAGGGGUUUUGAGAGAGAGACCCCCCACAUUGGAACUGAGAGACGGUCCAGACUCCUACGGGAGGCAGCAGUAGGGAAUAUUGGGCAAUGGGCGAAAGCCUGACCCAGCCAUGCCGCGUGAAGGAGACGGCCUUAUGGGUUGUAAACUUCUUUACUACGCGAAUAGAGGUUAGACGAGAUACUAAUAGGAAGGUAGUGUAAGUAAAAGCACCGGUAACUCCGU
rnacentral:rRNA from 1 species